GGUGGCCCUAAGAAAGUAGCCCAGCCUGCCAGUUCUUCUGUCCCUGUGCUGGGAAUCUGCCAUCCCUCUUCUUCUGCCUUCAGCAUCCUGCCUUCAUGUGCCUUGUGGGCGGGCUUCCUGUCAGGGACCACUUUGUCAUUUGGAAUUUGGAGACUGGGUUUUUAAAAGGUCAGCUGAGGCCAGGACCCAAAGACAAGACUUGUGCGAAACCUAUUUAUUCUGGCAGGCCAUCUUCUUUCAAAGGCCACUGGGGAUCCGUGCAAGGAGACUCCACCCAAAAGGAGAGGGAGCAAGGGAGCCACAGAACUUCAGAACCCAUGAGAAAGGCAUAAUAAAACUAAGACAAGAAAGAAAAGGAGACUGGAGAACAAGGUAAAAAAAGAAAUAGAAAAAUGGCAACAAUUUGCUAACGAAAAAUGUAACACCAUUGGUCAGUACUUGCUCAGAGGAGAUGAAAAGGUGAGAAGCAACAUCCUAAUUUAUCAUAUUUUGUUUUAAUUACAAUGUACAUGUGUUUUCUUAAAAGUGUGUAUCCUAUGUAUCAGAUGAGGUAAGCAGAAUUACUUUCUCAGCUCAUAUCUUAUAUAUUUACAUGUAUUUGUAGUUAUAUUUAUUGCAAUCUGGUGCAUUGCAGAUGCUAGAAUACAAAUAACCAAAAAUGCUGUCAUUACACUAAAUGAUAAGGAAGGCUAUCACAUAAUGAAGGAAAUUAUAUUGUUAUUUGCCACGAUGUAGAUUUUCUGAUGAUACAACCCAAAAUGUACAACGUUACAAUUUCUCUGAAAUCCCAAGAUAUUUUUCUGCUUGCUGAAGUAUAUGUUAGUAAGAAUGAUGAAAGGCUGCUUUGUUUUAGUAUUCUCAUUUUUUAAUGUGUCUUCUUUCUACCUUGUUUUUACUGCAUUGUUUCAUUAUGAUCCGAUAUCAGGAAGAUCUUGCAAUAGGCAAAUGUUUUAGGGUAGAGUAUAAUCAUAUUCAUAAUUAACUCCACCCCUUGAUUGCUUAGAGUCAAUUUACACUGAUGAUUAUUUUUCUAAAUGGAAAUUGUAUACUUUUUUCCUCUUAAAAUAAAUUUUAAAUUGUAGUAAGA
rnacentral:lncRNA from 1 species